rnacentral:lncRNA from 1 species
UUGAAUAGAUAAUUGAAAAUGAUUAUUAAAAUUAAAGAUUUUAAUAGUUUUUAUAAGUGUGAAAAAAAUAGAAGAAAAACUUGUCCUACGGGCCAACUUUUUUGACCACACAGCACAAUGUUUAAAAAAUAUUCAUAACAAACCAAAAUAACUUUACAAAAGCAGAAGAAGAAGACAGCAGAUUCAAAUGAGAACCCAAGUGAGGAAAUCAAUCUUGAAUUUAUUAAGAGGAAGUGGAGGAAUAAAAGCACAUUGCCAUCGUGCUGACGGCCGGAAUGGCGGAUGACCACCAACCCCAAAUCUUAAAAUGACAAUAAUAUCCUCAUUCAUUUGAGUUGUUGAAGCGACCCUGAAUGUGGAAAAAGGGACAAAUUUUGUAAAGGAAAGUUUUUCUUGGACCAUAAUAUUUUGCAGCCGACGCCCGAGAAAGACAAGAAAUGACAGAAUACCCUCAAAAUAUCCUGCCAAAAGAUUGUUAACA